UGUUUUUAGAUAAUUAUGGACAAACUACUGAUUAUACCCAAGUCUUAUCCACACACUGAAUCAUCCUGGCUUAUUUUAGGUAUGGCAAUUGUUGAAUCUGUGUUUGCAUGUGCAUCUUUUUGUUUUUCUAUGUAACAUUUAACUGUAGAGAGCAAUCGGAGGCUACAUAUCUAUGGAUGCAGGGCCGUCGGGGGUUACAUGUGGGGUGAAUUAAAAGGAUACGUCUGGAAAAUCUCCCCCCACCCUGCCAACAAUUUUGGAAAAAGAAAUAUUACUUAGGGACUGAAAUGUUGUCGGCAAAUGCGACACUACACCCCCCUCCUUGCUUUAGCCUCUUCGUUACGGCCCUGUAUACAUGAUUGGAACAUAACUCGCUAGCGGAAAUUAUAUGUACAUGCAAAGGGCAAACUACGCAAUCAAAAAGGGGUGAAUAUAGCCGGAAUAAACCUUUCCCCUUAUAACCAAAAUUUUGAUCUAGGCAAGUCUAGACAAAUAUUUCAUCACAGCUUGAAAGAGCAUCACAAAAUUAGUAAUAUUCCAAAGUUUCGUUGCGAAAUGUUCUAAAAUGCGGAUAAUAUAGCCUUGCGAAGUUUGCAAUUUUCAGUCAUUUUGCAUUACAAACGGGAAAUUGCAGUCCCAACACCCGAAUCGUAUGUCAAUUUCCCGUUUGUAAUACAAAAUGACUGAAAAACGGCAAACUUCGCAAGGCUAUAUUAUCCGCAUUUUACAAGAUUUUGCAACACAACUUUGGAAUAUUACUAAUUUGGUGAUGCUCUUUCAAGCUGUGAUGAAAUUUUUGUCUAGAUCGAAAUUUUAGUUAUAAGGGGAAAGGUCCAUUAGAGCGCUGUGUUUGGAAUCGCAGGGCCGCAGGUUCGAUUCCUGUCAGAGGAUCGAUAAUUGCAUUUUUCGCAACCGCUCCUGGUUAGGUCUAAUAAUUGUUAAAAAAAAUUCCACUUCAAAUUUCCAUCUACAAAUCCUUUCAACGAAUUCUGUGAGAUCCGUAUUCUACAUGUUAUAGUUCAGCUGGAAUUUAUACCAACACAGAACGCUUCAUUUGGAUGCGCAAAGGAAACUCUGAAUGGACUUUCACCUUUUGACUAAAAUUUAGAUUUCAACAAGUCUAGACAAAAAUUUUAUCACAGCUUGAAAGAGCAUCACAAAAUUAGUAAUAUUCCAAAGUUUCGUUGCGAAAUGUUGUAAAAUGCGGAUAAUAUAGCCCUGCGAAGUUUGCGAUUUUCAGUCAUUUUGUAUUACAAACGGGAAACACAUACAGUACCCUUUUUUCGAAGGAGGUAUGUAUUUCCCGCGCGUAAUACAAAAUGACUGAAAAUGGCAAACUUCGCAAGGCUAUAUUAUCCGCAUUUUACAAUAUUUCGCAAUGAAACUUUGGAAUAUUACUAAUUUUGUGAUGCUCUUUCAAGCUGUAAUAAAAUAUUUGUCUAGACUUGUUCAGAUCUAAAUUUUAGUCAAAAGGUCCAUUGGCGUAUAUAAACUAAGUAACUUUAAGUUGAUGAUACCCCUCCCCUCUCCCCACGACGUGGAUGGAUCAAUGAAGUAGUUCUCCUCUUAGAUUGCUUACUUGAAAUGCGGAAUUGUGAGGUUUAUGAAAAACGGUCAGUUUGGACUCAGGUGGUGAGUUGCAUGUAAGCAAUGUAGUGUUCCUCGUUUCGUACUCACAACAUUGUUAAAACAAUGCUGAACAUGACAAUGGUGGAGAGAAAGAAUUUGAAGCAGUUUUAUAGAGUAUCUAAAUAUAAUACCGUGUAUUCUCUUUGAGAAGUUAAAUUUAUUAAUUUGUGCUACAUUUAGCAAACAAGCCUGACUACCCUGGUUUCGCUUGCAUGGAUUGUUUUCAACCUUAAGGUUUUACACUCUGACUCAAGUAACAGUUCUGGGUUGAAAAAUUGUUUAUUAGUCUAAUAAUGCAUGAAAUAUAAUAUGAUGAAAAAAUUGUGG
rnacentral:lncRNA from 1 species